AGGCCAGAACUGAAGAGUAUUGUGUGUGUGUUCCAGUGAUACAUUCACACAACUAAAGAGCCACUAAAACCACACGCUGUGCUCUUCGUGCGCCUGACACAUCUGCUGAUCACUAACUUAUACAAAAGCUGGGCAACAGACAUAUGUAGACCCUGCAACUGGUUAUCUGGUGUUUACCUAACAUGCCGACCUUCAGAGAGGGAAAUGUUGUGGUUUUGCAUCCAGACUGUCCAUAUGGACAAGUCAAUGUGAAGGACCCAGCCAAAAAGAAGCAUUUUAAUUAGCUCUUUUACAUAUGACGAAGGAGUUACAUCUGAACUGAAUGCUUUCCACAUCUUACAACAAUAGAAGAAACAGUGAAGAAACCUGAAAUAAAGAUAAAUGACAAACACUUUUAAAUUAAUUGUCACACUAUAAUAGUACUUAAUCAAAAGAUUAAGCUGUGAUUUACAGUGCACAUUUCUUGAACACCCAAAAGUCAAAUACAUUUACAUUCAUUACAAAAGCUGUGUUAUAAAUAAAUGCAAUUGACUCUGCA